rnacentral:lncRNA from 1 species
AAGCUUUCUGCACCAGUGAUUUUGAAAAAAAAAUAAUAAGUUCAAUUGGUCAACCUCAUCAUUGUAUUCUCUCUGCAAAUUGACCAGCCGAAUUGGUUCGCUUUUUUUUUUUCAUUUGGUUGCCAUCGGAGCUUAUGUUACCGGGGUGGUAGUGGUAGUAGUAGUAGAAGCCAAAACAGCAGCGAGAUCCUUGUUAUGUAUUUGCGUGACUACUAGUCUCUCCACGUGUCACGCGAAACGGCGUAUAGGGGAGCCCUCCCGAACAACAACACAAACCGAUGUGCCAUUUCGCCUAUUGGUCGCCGGAUGAACCAAUGGCGAAAUUUGAUUCCUUUUUUUUUUUUUUUUUUUUCUUUUCUUUUCAUGUUCGCUCUUUUGAUUUUUUAUACUACGGUAUUACGCACGAACCGCUCAGCUAGCGUCUUUAUUUAUUAUUAUUUAUUUUAUAUGUAUAUAUAUUUUUUUUUACUUUGAAGGGUUAAAUAAUAAUAAAAUGUGUAAUGGUUAAGAAAGUUUACCGGAUAUUAUUAUUAUUAUCAUUGGAAUAUAGUGCGUUUAUUUUUCUAUAGCCUCGAGCCAUGCAAAUAUAUAUUUUUUUUUAGGGGAAUGCGGUCGAAUAGCUCGAGGGAUUCGAAGCGUGACCCGUGUGUGUGUGUGUGUGUGCCUUCACUUGAAAUUCCGUUCGGGUAUCUUUUUUUGUUUUUUGGUCGGAGACGGUGAUAAAUGUUGUAUCAAUCGUUCUUUUUCUUUGUUUUGCUAGCAGCGUGUGGUUGCGGGAGAUGAAAUAAUCAAUUGCAUCCGACUUUGUUUGACUUGUGGACAACUAUCUACUUUCUAACGAAGAGUGUGUGUGUGUGUGUGUGGUCUAACCGGGCUAGUGUAUUGACAGAUGGGUAACUUGAGACCGCAAAAAAAAAAAAAAAAAAACUAUAUACGGUCAUAACUGGCAACCUUGUGUAUUUCGCGUGUGCAAACACACAUACUGUACUGAUUUUAUUGAUGGCUUCAACUCUUAUUUUGCAUAUGCGAAAGGGAAAAACACACACACACACAGGGGAAAAAGUAAGGUGCAUUUUGAGUGAUUCCGUCAUUGUUUCACACCGUUGCGUGAUUGUUUUCUGGGCGUCUAUCCAAAAACUAUUUCGUUAUUGCCCUUAACCUUUCAGAUCUUUGCAACAUUCUAUCCUUUUCUUAUUUCUUUCUUUAGACAACGGACGGACAAUUGUAUUUUUGCGAUAUAAUUUGUGUUUUUGCUGAAAUGGGACAUCGUGGCGACAGUAUCAAAAAUUGGAACAGGCUAUCUCGAAAAUGGUACACAUUGACUAUUUCGGUCCCACCUACACGCCCUCUCUAGAGAGAUACUUUCGAUCUAUUUCGAUCUUUCGGCAUUGUCGGGUGUCCCUUUUUUUUUUUUGCCACAAUCUCUUGUCAUAAAUCUCACACCGAUGUUAAAGAAACAGAUUCAGCGUCUUCUUCUUCUAUUUGGGUAGAAGAAGCUUUCCCAUCCAUAUCGACCGCCACGCGACUAUAUAUAAAGCCACUGCCGAGCUAUUGUUGUGAUGCUAACCUUGUCCCUUCAAGGCAAUAAGACGCGGUCAGAUUGAUGGGAGGUUUUUUUUUUUUUCCUUUCUCUCAGAUCGCGCAUUCUAUAGACAUUAUCCCACGUGUCCGCUAGGCUAGAGUCACUCGCAAAUUUCUUUUUUUUUUUUUUUUUUGCAUUUUAUUUUCCCGUUUUUGUUGUCUUUUUGGCGAAAAUCUUCCCCUCGAGCUUUUUUGGAUGGUUGCCAACCGUGUUGGCCUUCAGGGUUUUAUAGGACCCUAGCAACAGCGUUGAGGGCCGCAGCUCAUUGCUUUGUGUACCCAAUCCGAAUGGCUGCCGCCCUUCUUUUUUGGCCAUACUUUGUUACCACCACUGCACUAUUCGCUUCUUUUUGUUUUCCAAGUGUAUACAACAGUAAACAACCCGCAUUUCAUUUUUGUUUUUGUUUUAUUGUCUUGUGCAUUCAGUAGAAUUCAUCAUCUUUCUAGGUAGUGUUCUACAGUGUAGUUAGUCUAGUUUCCGUACGACUUUGAUAUCCCUAUUUUCUCUUUUUCUGCCCCCCCGAACUGACAUUGUUCUUCUUUUUUAUUAUUGUUCGCCCAAAAUGGCUGAUGUAUGCAACGCAGUCGGGGGCAGUUUAAAAAAUAAAAGGGGGGCAUUUUGUUUCGCAGCGGAAAUGGUCGUGAUCUUUUUUAAGCCGACCUUAAUCGUUCCAUCUUCUGCUCGACAAAGCAGUUGACGGAUUUUUUUCAUUAACUACGACAGAGGCAACGCGUUCACGUCAAACUCGCUUCGUCAUUUAGUUACGCACGUGAAAUGAAUCGAUUUUUCGUUUAGUCCCUUUUGUAAAGCAAUUUGGUGAUUAAAGGGAGAGAAAAAAAAGGGGGGAUACUCAUCGACACAACAACGGUGGUACGGACCUCAUGGGUUAUUAACACGAGCGAAAGAGAAAAAGUAGAUAGGGAAACCUUACGACUGCUUCGGUAAAAAUUAUUGUGAUUUCAAAAAUCUUGGCCGACACCUAGAAAAGUUAUAGGCUUUUAGGCUUUAUUCAAUUGUGUGUGUGUGUGUAGAAGGCCCACGCACUGCAGGGUCACGGUGUUCGUUGUAGAGGUAGAUCGGGGUUGUGCGUGAAUAUUUAUAGACACGUGCGUUGAAGAGAUAUGAAAUGAUUGCGAGUGUAGACUACACAAAUGUAUCAGCUGGGAAAGGGUAAUCUUUUUGUAACUUGAUCAAAUGUUUGUUUAACCUUUGAGAAAUCUUCUCCCAGUUUUGGCCGCGUAGAUUCUAAAAUCUUGUCGGACGUAAUUUGUGUUGUUUCCAACCAAAAAAAAAAAAAUUGUAUUCGAAGCUUUGGCUGACAUACUUUGUGAUUAACAUUAUUGGCCUCUGUCGCGAUCCAUCACAUUUAAGCUGGCAGACUUGGUGAACUUGUGGGGUGUAAUUAUACACACACUCAUAUGUAUGUAUAUAUAUAUAUAUAUACACAUAUCGAGAUUUGGAGAAACUAUUUUCGUUUGGUGCGCAGAAUUUGUGUGUGUAUGCUGCUACUACACUUACUACUACCCUUCCGGUUCAGAUGAACAAGGGGGCGCAAAUCGGUAGGGGCAUACUUUAGUCAGAGCCAAAAUAAAAGCAGCUUUUUUCUGGCUCCCAAGUCGAAGGGGGUAAAACGAUCCGACUGCUGUGUUUGGUGUCCUUGCCAUUGCCAUACCACCAACAGUGCAUGAUCCCCGCGCGAAGGGAAAGCUUCGUACCGAAAAAUCGUAGAACCACUGUUUAGUUCCCUUUUGGUGCCUUACUGAGUAAGUUGGCUCGUUCUCGAUCUCGAUUUUUUGACUCUUCGUGCUUUUGUCGCACAGUUAUUUCCCCUUCGUUUUCGUGUGUGUGUGUGUGUGUGUUGACGUUUUCAUUUCCAAUAUAUAGGUAAUUCGAUACAUUUAUACCGUGUGGGUUUUGUUUUUUUAUAAUUUAGUUUUGGCUAUGUGUGUUUGACAAAUUCUUGUUGUGAGGAACGAAAAGAAAAAUAGUUGUUAAAGAAUUUCGGUGACGUGCGUUGAAGAGCCCAUGCCUACGCAACCAAAGUGGCGCUUACAUCACGAUCGGUUAC